GCGACUUAUCAGUCCUAGGGUGUCCGCCGCAGGCGGAAGAAUAGGGAAUCCCGUGAAAUUCGGGAGUGGGCCCGCCACUGUAAGUGGGGACGAACAACAAUUCAAAUGUCACUGACACAAAGUGUUGGGAAGACAUCGUUGCUCGAACGAUCCACAAGCCAGGAGACCUGCCUUAAGGAGAGAGCGUUC
rnacentral:ncRNA from 1 species